ensembl:lncRNA
CAAAGCUAACUCUAGGCAAAACUGAUUUGCAUUGACAAACCUGGAGUGUUUUUCACUGAAACCCGAUAGGCUAAAGAAUGCUCAAGCUGUAACAGUGCACAGGAGUGAGGACUGAACUCCCACAGAAAGGGUCUUCUCUGCAGUUUGGUGUAUGGGCACAUUAACAUUCAUGUGUUCUGGUAUUUUGGAUGCUAGUGAACUUCCUUAGAAUUUACUUGACAUUGCUUUGAAAGUGUCUUCCCUUUGCCUUUUAAAAUACACUGACCCACACAGAUGCCGCCUGGCCCAUGUUCUGUCUUGGUGACAUGCUAUAUUCUUGAGUUGCUUUAUCUACUCAUUUAAGGAUUGCAUGGGAAAAAAAACUGGGCUGCUAUACCUGGAGACAUGAGCAAGAACUGGAAUUCAGAACUGAUGAGGCCCCAGAAUUGGACAUGAUACUGCAGGUGGAGUCUCACAAGAGCAGAGCAGAAGGGCAGAAUCAGCUCCAUGGACCUGCUGGUCUCACUUCUCUUGAUGCAAGAUACUUCUUUUGAUACAAGAGAUAGUUGUUGCUAUCAGGGACAUCAGUAUGACUUUACUGAUGAUGACCUGGAAUAUAUGAUUAAUCAUGUUGACGUCUGCAGCAGGGAUGAGAUUUGGAGGCCACUCCUGGAAUACUCAGUAAGGAUCUCCCCUGGCCUAUCAACUGCCCCAAGAUGGAGCUGCAUGCAUUCCAUCUGCUCCUCUGCAUGGAGCAUGACUUCUCCUCACCUUUGCAGCCACCCUUUCCUGAAGAGCCUCUUUUUUCUUUUUCCCAAGUUCAAUUUGUGCAGACAUAAGCAAGAAGCUACAGCAAAACUAAGGAAAUGUGCAUGUAAUGUAAAGUAAGUCCUGCAGCUAUGAAGCUAUUUCAUUCUUGGAGGAACUUGAGUCUGGAUAGCCACCAAAGAGGGCAGGUUGUAUUGAUUUUAUGACAUUCACUCCACUAAGGGUUGCUUUGUUUUCAUCAACAAUAGUAUCAGUUAUCCUAAUUUCUGGAAGCAAUGCAAAUGUUUACUCCAAAAGGUAUAAACAUAUAUAAUGUUUACUGUCUUGUAAACCACAAAGAGUUAGUAAAUACAUUUUGUUCCAUACUUUGUUAUCUGUAUAAAGCUACACUGUACAAGGCUGUCAUCUAGGUCAAAGAGAGAGGAACAAUGUGAGAUAAUGAAAAGAGUAGUAAAUACAAGUUAUUACUUAAUAGGCUCAUGUAAUUACCAAGGGUGGGGGUAGAAAAAAAUGGUGUUAUCAGUGGUAAAUAGAAUAAGUAAAAGAAAGGUGGUGGGUUUUUAUUUUGUUUGUUUGUUUGUUUUUAAUUUAAAAAAAAAAUAGAUCUGGGGUUAAAGAUAAUAUUUUUAAUAACUUGUGCAAAAAAUAACAGUUAUGACAGGAUUUGAAAUAAAAAUUGUUUCUAGUCCUUAUGAAACAAAGGUUAGCAGCUAUAAAUGGGGAGGAUGAGAGGAAACGUUUACUAAAGUGCACCAUGUGUAAUCAUCAAGCCUAAAUUACUUAAAUCCAGGAGUCAUAGAAAUCUAUGUAGUCCCAGACCACAAAUAAUUGUAUCAGUAACUAAUAAUAAAUAUUAGUAACAAGAGUUGCACCAAAAAAUUGAGGUUGUAAAAUUCCAGUAUGGGAUGAAGUGAAAAUCAUAAUUUGGGAAUAAUAAUGUAUCAAGAUUAAUGUUUAUUCUAGGUAAGAAAUGAUUGAGUUGGAACUUUAAAUAAGACUGGUUAUUACAAUACUGAUUCUUACAUUACUUGUCUGUUUUGGUGGAAGAUGUCCUCUGAAGCUUUCCUUUCUGUAUUUGUUUGAUCUGACAGACUUGCAGACGUGGUCAAAACUCUCAAAGAGAGUCAGUAUCAUAAUGUCUAUAUUUCUCCAUCAAAUAUGGAGAAAAUCUCUAUUUUGAUUAAAAGCUUUCAUUAUGUUCAUUAACAAAGUAUAUUGCAGAAUAACUCCCUCAGAAAAGGCAAAUUUAAGUUGCUAGUGGGAAAAAUAAGGUACUGGGUUGUUACUGAGGAAUUAAUUUUUAUUGGAGACAUAUACUCCAAUUGGUGGAGUUACGUAUAGAAUUUUCAUUGAAGUUUUCAAAUGAUACAACAUUUGUGAGGUAGAAAAUGAUGAGAAGGAUGAGAUACUGAUGCAGAGCAAGCUAUAAUUCGCACUGAUGACCUAACUGCUCAGUAGCAGCCAUGCAAGUGGAGCAUAUUCCAUGCAUGAGCCCAUCCUCCCUCAGGGCAAAAGUUAGAACUGUAUUAUCUCUUCCUCUCUUCCUCCAGUGCAUCUGGUCUCAAGAAUGACCUGGAGCACUUAAUUAAGUGGCCACAAUUGAAUACUGAAAUGCAUAGUGAUAUGCAUUUCAAAAUGAAGACCACACACUGUGCUUACAAAGUUGGAGCUCCUAUGUUGAAAUACAGUCAGUUAAAAAGAGUUUUAAUGGUUAUUAUGAGUAGUCACACUAUUUAAAUUCAUUUCAGAGUUGAUUCAAGAAAUGCACGCCAAUAAUGAACAAGCUAAAGAAAGAGAGAACCUCGCUAAUUAAAAGAUUCUGCAUUUUUUUACCUAGCUGUUCUAAAAGUACCACAGUUCAAAAGGAAUAUAAAACUGAUCAAGUGGGAAUAAAGAAAAUUCAAGAAACACAUCCAGAAUUCGGAAAAUCAAGCCCUUUGCCAUAAAGAGUUGUCUUAUGAAAGAUGAAGUUGAAAGACUUUCUUUCUCUUCAGAAGUGCUUAUAUAUGGUUGCAUUCAGAAAUUGUGAUGCAUGAAAGUUCUUUCUAUUCAAAGACCAGUAACACAUUAGAGAAAUAUAUUGCUUAAAUGGAGUUAUGGUUUCAUAGUAGUCUGACAGAUGAUGCAGAAAUGCAACUUAUCAUUCAGAAUUUUUGAUGUAGUAGAACAGCUUUGUAAUAUGUGUAGUAUCUAAUUCAACUUUUUGGAAGAAAUCUUCAGCCUGUGUGCACUGAGGGAUCACACUAUAUCUUUGAGGUGGUCUCCUGCACAUUUCUGGGGCAUUUAGCGAUAUUCUUUUUACUCUAAAUACUCUCAUAAAACUUAGCUUGAGAUACCUGUAGCAUUUAUCAGUCAGUCUCAUGCUUCAGAGUUAAUUAGUCAUUGACUAAUCAGAAAUUAAUACUGGUUUAGCCUUCUGCAGGUUUAUUGCUUUGCCCUGAAUUGCUGGAUCUUUCUCCCUUCUGAAGCACUGUAUUGGGGUUGGGUUUGUUUUUGGUUGGUUGGUUUUUUGUUUUCCAGGUGAAGAUAAGAUGAUAAACUGUGGAUUCUGAAGGGUAUUAGAAUUACUGUUCAGCUUGGAUCAGAGUAGAGCAAGCCUUUCUUCAGCAUUCUCUGUGGUCAUAAUGUCAAUCAGUGCCAAAGAGAAAGAGGUGACUGACUGGCUGAUCAAUGAAUAUGCAUGGAUCCUAACAGUAAAGGAGCUCCUGGUGGGCUCUGAGGUGCCUGUUUUUCACUGUUGUAGCAGAAAUGCUAAGUCAUAGCCUGAACCAGUGAUUGAGCACCUGGUGGAAGGCAGGGCCAACCCAGGGGAGCUCAGCUGCAUGUGGAGCACCUGAGUGAUUGGAAGGCAUGGAGCCAGGAUCCACCCCUUCCCAGACUUCAUUUAAGGGUUAGCAGUGGAGGUGAGGAUAUCUUGUUGGAGGUUACUGCUUACUGAAGGUCUUCACAAGUGUAUGCUGGUGGAACAAUACCAAGUUAUCUCUCAAACUUCCAAAGCUGGCUGGAGCUGGAUGUAAGGUUUUUACAAGGUAACCACCAAAAGCAGUAAAGUGAAAGCUACAGAACUGGCAGACAUCGGUAUCUAAUAGCUGGUGUCCUUCCUCCUUUCCUGCUGUUACAUAUGCUCUGUGAAAUGGUGUCAAUGAACAGAAGACAACCAAGCCUGCUUUUUCUUUUCCCAACUCAUCAUACAGUGUACCUUGUCUCACCUCCCAGCAAACUGACAGCAACCUGUACCCAACAUGAAAAAAAAAAAUAAGCAGAUAGCACUCAAGCAGCAAAAUCAACAUUCUUAUUCUUCAGUUAAUGACUAAUGUGAGCAAGAUGAGGUCCAGCAGCACUCCAACAGAACAGAAGAGAGUCCUUUAUUCCCAAAGCAUCAAUGAUAUGGUCAAUAGUUAAAUCCAAUAAGUGAUAUUUUUCCCCUCUUCUUGAACCUAAAAAUUAAGAAAUGAGAGCUCUACAGCUCUUUUUCUUACCUGUAUAUGAAUUACUUGACUGACAUUGCCUUUCAAAAAGAGCUGCAAAUAUGUUAAGCCAGGAGGGUAAAGAAAAUGAAUCCUACUCAUUAAUUAGCAUUACUACAUAGUCCAAGUAUGCACAAUGUGGAUUUGAAGAUGGAUCUCCACCUUUUACGUAUAACCUGGCAGGCGUACAAGUGACAAUGUAUCGUAGCAUUUUGUGUAAACCCUUGUGAAAGUUCUGUCCUUGGUGAGAUACAGAUCUAGGAGAACCAACAUACAGAUGGACAGGCGAUCAAGAAAAAAACAAACAGGAAAUAGCAGGCUGAAGAGAAGAUACACACAUGCAAAGAAAUAGUGCUUAAGUUCUUCUAAGGUCUGAUAAGAGGAGACUGAUGGUCCAGCUGAACCUGCAAAAAGUGAUAGAACUCCAAAUUGUACUGAAUUUUUUCAAAGCAACUGGUACAUAGUAGCAUCAACAAUAGGUUGUAUCACAUGGAUCAUAGCCAGGAGGGUAGAGGCUGCAGUAUUCUGACAGACCCUGGUGUAAUACAUGCACCCUAAUGGGUCUCCCAGACCUACCUCUAGGCCACUCUUUCAGUUGGCCUCCAGCUGUUACUCCAUCCACAUAACUGUGAGUAACCCUAUGAGAGCAUGUGUGUGUCUGAACUGUAAAUGGAUGUAUGGUGUGAAUUAUUAAUUAUUAUAAAGCUGUGGCUAAUAAUGAAAGCUUGAGUCUAUUCAUAAUAUAAAUAUAUGUGAACCUAAGUAGUAAAAGGUGUUUUAAUAAAUAUUGGUCAUGAUCUGUCUCCCCAGCUUGAUUGCCUACCAGAGAAAAUGGUAUUUAUAAUAAUGAAAUUUCCUUUCUACUUGGAAAAGACAGGAGAUGAACCAUUGAAUUCAGCAUGCUAGGUAGCUGCAGAGAGGACCCUCCCCCCUUCAUCUAAAUGUUGAGCAGUAGCUUUAUUUCCUGAAUGUACCCAUCCAUUAUCUUCUACUGACAAUAAACACCUUACAAUUUCUUUUUAGUAAGAUCCUUAUGAGCCUUCAGUUCAUGUUAAGUUUAAAAGGGUCGUAUUCCUUUGUUUUGACAGUGCAAAGGAUUCUGGUUUACUUUUAGCUGUUUUUGAAGCUUAAUUGGAGCCAGAAGGCUGGAUCAUCAGUAGACAUAAUGUAUUAUCAUUAACUUCAUGAGGCAAUUUCUCAUGUACAAUUUUGCUAGUGCAGACAU